GUCUUUACUGACGCUGAGGCACGAAAGCGUGGGGAGCAAACAGGAUUAGAUACCCUGGUAGUCCACGCCCUAAACGAUGAGUACUAAACGUUGGAUAAAACCAGUGUUGAAGCUAACACAUUAAGUACUCCGCCUGAGUAGUACGUACGCAAGUAUGAAACUUAAAGGAAUUGACGGGACUCCGCACAAGCGGUGGAUCAUGUUGUUUAAUUCGAAGGUACCCGAAAAACCUCACCAGGUCUUGACAUGCUUUUGCAAAGCUGUAGAAAUACAGUGGAGGUUAUCAAAAGCACAGGUGGUGCAUGGUUGUCGUCAGCUCGUGUCGUGAGAUGUUGGGUUAAGUCCCGCAACGAGCGCAACCCUUGUUGUUAAUUGCCAUCAUUAAGUUGGGGACUUUAGCAAGACUGCCAAUGAUAAAUUGGAGGAAGGUGGGGACGACGUCAAAUCAUCAUGCCCCUUAUGACCUGGGCUACAAACGUGAUACAAUGGCUGUUACAAAGGGUAGCUGAGG
rnacentral:rRNA from 1 species